GAUGAACGCUGGCGGCGUGCCUAAUACAUGCAAGUCGAGCGAACAGACGAGGAGCUUGCUCCUCUGACGUUAGCGGCGGACGGGUGAGUAACACGUGGAUAACCUACCUAUAAGACUGGGAUAACUUCGGGAAACCGGAGCUAAUACCGGAUAAUAUAUUGAACCGCAUGGUUCAAUAGUGAAAGACGGCUUUGCUGUCACUUAUAGAUGGAUCCGCGCCGCUUUAGCUAGUUGGUAAGGUAACGGCUUACCAAGGCGACGAUGCGUAGCCGACCUGAGAGGGUGAUCGGCCACACUGGAACUGGAACACGGUCCAUGCUCCUGCGGGAGGCAGCAGUAGGGAAUCUUCCGCAAUGGGCGGAAGCCUGACGGAGCAACGCCGCGUGAGUGAUGAAGGUCUUCGGAUCGUAAAACUCUGUUAUUAGGGAAGAACAAAUGUGUAAGUAACUAUGCACGUCUUGACGGUACCUAAUCAGAAAGCCACGGCUAACUACGUG
rnacentral:rRNA from 1 species